rnacentral:rRNA from 1 species
UGGGGAAUAUUGGACAAUGGGGGGAACCCUGAUCCAGCAAUGCCGCGUGUGUGAAGAAGGCCUGAGGGUUGUAAAGCACUUUCAGUAGGGAGGAGGUUACUUAGGUUAAGAGCUAGAGUGAUGGACGUUACCUACAGAAGAAGCACCGGCUAACUCCGUGCCAGCAGCCGCGGUAAUACGGAGGGUGCGAGCGUUAAUCGGAAUUACUGGGCGUAAAGGGUGCGUAGGUGGUUGAUUAAGUUAUCUGUGAAAUUCCUGGGCUCAACCUGGGCAGGUCAGAUAAGACUGAUUGACUCGAGUAUAGGAGAGGGUAGUGGAAUUUCCGGUGUAGCGGUGAAAUGCGUAGAGAUCGGAAGGAACACCAGUGGCGAAGGCGGCUACCUGGCCUAAUACUGACACUGAGGCACGAAAGCGUGGGGAGCAAACAG